GACGAACGCUGGCGGCGUGCCUAAUACAUGCAAGUCGAACGCUUCUUUCCUCCCGAGUGCUUGCACUCAAUUGGAAAGAGGAGUGGCGGACGGGUGAGUAACACGUGGGUAACCUACCCAUCAGAGGGGGAUAACACUUGGAAACAGGUGCUAAUACCGCAUAACAGUUUAUGCCGCAUGGCAUAAGAGUGAAAGGCGCUUUCGGGUGUCGCUGAUGGAUGGACCCGCGGUGCAUUAGCUAGUUGGUGAGGUAACGGCUCACCAAGGCCACGAUGCAUAGCCGACCUGAGAGGGUGAUCGGCCACACUGGGACUGAGACACGGCCCAGACUCCUACGGGAGGCAGCUGUAGGGAAUCUUCGGCAAUGGACGAAAGUCUGACCGAGCAACGCCGCGUGAGUGAAGAAGGUUUUCGGAUCGUAAAACUCUGUUGUUAGAGAAGAACAAGGACGUUAGUAACUGAACGUCCCCUGACGGUAUCUAACCAGAAAGCCACGGCUAACUACGUG
rnacentral:rRNA from 1 species